rnacentral:misc_RNA from 1 species
GAAUGGUGGGCACACUAAGAAGUCUCUUAAAAUGGCGAUUGUUACCGAUAUUAGAAGUCUAAAAUAAAUUAACAUUUUCAUGUACAAAUCUUCAAUUAGGAAACUUACUAUAAAGAAAAUUAUCUAAAAUAUAAGCGUGAGCUUGUAAUAUUUACUUUUAAGAAGCAAAAUAUAUGUUAAAGUUUGGACUAUCCUGGUGUUUGGAUUUAAGAAGCGUGACAAACCGGAAAAUAUAAAUGAACCAAUACCAAAUUCAGCAGCUAACUUCCCACCUAUCUCAGGCUCUUGACCAAAACUAUGAUGUCAUUAAUAUGGAUGCAGUUCUUUCUGUCAUAUGUGCUUUGGAAGGCACGAAAAUUACGAAGGAACAAUUGGAGGCCACCAGACUGGCGAAAUAUAUUAAUCAAUUAAGGCGGAGAACUACAAAUGAGCAUCUAGCGCGUCGUGCCAAGUCACUUUUAAAAAAGUGGCGAGAAAUGGUGGGAAUUCAACAAACAACUUUUGAUUCUCAGCAACAGCUUCAGACACAAUCAAUAGAAUUUUUAAAAUCGACAACGUCUACACCACAUUUUGAUGAGAUUGUUUCUCUUUUGCCAAUUUCAUCCUCAUUACCGUCGCAGGAAAUUUUCUCAGAUAUUCAUUUGAAUAUUGACCGGUCUGAAACUCCAUCACUUUCUGUAAAUUCGCAGGCUCAUUCAAACUUAUCAAGCCCUCAUCAUAAUAAUAUUAACGAUUUGAAUCGAAGAGAAAAUAAUUCAACAAAUUCUGUGCACAGUUACAAUCGGCUAUCACAAAACAUGUCAAGCGGACCCGUUAAUCCGCCACAGCAGCAUUUGAUUAAUCAAUCCUUGAACACUAUUUCUAACAAGUGCGAUGUGAGCAAAAAAAAGUUGAACGAAGUUUCUGUUGUUAUUGACAUAGUCUCAGACUCGGAUGACAAUGACAAUAAUAGUUCGAAACUUGUUAGAUCUGAUAUUUCUGAGCCAUCAUUACUUAUGAUCCCAUCAACGCCGAGUCCACGUUUGAAAAAAAAUAGGAAAGACAAAAAGAAUGACCCUAUACUACAUAGACCAAAUAAGAAAAUUAGCAAAAAAAAUAAAGAUGGAUUUUUACACACUACUCCCGCAGAUUCAGAGGUGUAUUCAACAUCAAACAGUUCCAUGAGCUCAAUUUUAUCAGGAGAUACCACAUUUGGAAACUCAGGCAGUAAAACACGGUCAAACUCAAGUGAAUUAACGUUUAGUGGUAGAUUCAAGUCAAUAAAUCAAGUGGAAGUUUUAAGUCAGAAUAACUUUACCCUAUUUUCUGGAAACAAUAAUGCUUCAACCCAUAUAAAUGAACUUGAUAAACCAUUGUUUGAAGAUUAUAAUACAUAUGACUCGAGUGCAUCUUGUAGCCGCUUUUCCUCUAGCGUCGAUCAAGGAAAAUCAGAGAAAAUCGCUCUUCAAAUACACAGGCCCGUUGACGCUCAAUGUCCGGUUUUAAAAAAGACUGAAUUAUUCCAUAAAGCUUCCGACUCACAUGGCUACAAAAAACGUGGUCGUAAAAAGGGAUCUAGAGGUGUUGAUGCUGUAAUUUCUAAAGAGUCGUCUAGCUUGUGCCAGCAAAUCUUCUUAGGCAGCUCGACAGUAAAUAAAGUCAAGACGACAAAGGAACUUUUUAAUGAAAUCCAGAGCAGAAAAUUAACUGCUUCGCACUCUUCAACAUUUCGUGACAAGACAAAAUGUGCUCGCUUAAAAAGACGAACGUCAUCAUGUUCGGAAGCAUCAAUACUUUCACCAAAUUUAAUGGAAAAUUACUCUGGCAACGUAACUCUAAUGGAUAUUGAUACAUUUUCAAAAAAAAUUCGUGAACGCAGUGGAUGGAAUUAUUAUUUUGCCACAUCAUUCAAUCAGUCGAAGCGUCGCUUUCGCACACGCAAUUCUAGAUUCAAAAUACGAUUUGUUAUUUAGGUUUUGAAAUGUGCAAAGAAUUUAACAGCGGACACUGCUUGAGGAACUUUCAGAACGCAGUUGAUGGGAUUAUCAUUUUGCCACACACAUUCAAUCAGUCGAAGAACCACUUUCGCACACGCAAUUCUAGAUUUAAAAUACGAUUUGUUAUUUAGGUUUGUAUCUGUUCAAAUUUUAGUA